CGACCCUCCUGGCUGCCCUAGCUGAGACGAGAGAACUGUGUGAAUCUGCGUGCCCGAAGUCCUUGUGUAGUGAAAUUUGAAAGGCUCGUCUUGCCGGCGACGCACAAGGAAAGUUGUUUUUUUAUGUGACAGAGGUUUCUAGAGGCGGUCGUGUUUUGUGAAAUGGAGACCUCACAGCUGCAUUAUUGCUGUCGUGAACCAAUUUCGAUUGACCUAGUGAGAGUCAGUAAACAUCAACAGAACACUGAGUUUGGGAAGAUAUGGUGUCUCGCAAAUGUUCUGAUGAGGGUUAAAGAGUGCUGCACGCUACUGUCCGUCUUUAACGUAUUGGACUUUACUGAGUGGCGAAACUACCCCGACGUGAAGGAGUGUCUACAAAAUUGACAGGGCUUACAAAUGACAGUGUUUAUCUUCCUACUUUAUUGUUUCAAAACGUCCAUGGAGACGAUGUGGUAGUUCUUUGGGGCAAGUGACUGUGAAAGGUUGAGUCUUAACUUCUUUAUGAUCUUUUUUUUUAUAUCUGUUUUGCAAAGUGAAUGCUAAUACAUGCUUUUGUGUUGUUUAUUUUUUUCAGUAGCUGUGCCAUGUUGUGAAGAUGAACCAGUUCUCAACUCUCAGUGGUGUGAGAAACUUUCUUUUAUUCCACUUACCUGGAUUGAGGACAAUCUCGGAGAGUAUCUUUUUAAUGUGACGAAGGAGUGGCAGACUGAAAGGCGUCAGCUUUUGUCUUUCAUAGUCUUCACAACUGUGACUCGCUGUCUGUUUGUGGUUUUUAAUUACCGCCACUUGAUGUGAGAUGUUUCUUCAGGGGCAAAGAUAAUCGCAGAGGUAAGUUAUUAUCCCCUCCCCCGUUUCUUCUCUUUAUUUUAGCCAUGACAUUGGCUUGGGAGAGCAUAUGCACUUCUUUCUUUCCAAAGUUUAAAUUGUAAAGUUACCAUCAAAGCAAUGUGAAGGGGAGUGGUAUAACAUUUGCGUGUAGAGUUUUGAUUGUUCUACAGUAAAUGUAUGCAAUAAGGUUGAUA